rnacentral:rRNA from 1 species
GGGCGACUGAACCGGGAAGAGCCCAGCGCAUAACCUCGUGUCGUUAACCCGGCACGAGGGGUGUUGCGUUUCGGAGGGUCCAGCACGCCGUGCCAUACCGUCUAAGUCAAGCUUGAAAGCGGCCACUACCCGUGGAGGGUGACAGGCCCGUGUGGCGGCGCCCGCGAGGGUAAAGAUGGCACGGUCGGAAAGGGCCUCUCCGUAGAGUCGGGUUGCUUAAUAGUGCAGCCCAAAGCAGGUGGUAAACUCCAUCUAAGGCUAAAUAUGACCACGAGACCGAUAGCGAACAAGUACCGUGAGGGAAAGUUGAAAAGAACUUUGAAGAGAGAGUUCAAGAGUACGUGAAACCGUUAAGAGCCAAACGGAUGGAACCUCGAAGGUCGAACUGAGGGGAUUCAGCUCGUCGGCCGUCGGCUGGGUGCGAGUCUUCGUUGAGUCGGUGCGACCCGAGGAAACUCGGGCGCGCUCGCACCCACGCUGGCGUCGACGGGCGCAUUUCGCCUCGUAGUAGGGCGCCGCGACCCGUUGUUGGGGACGUCUAUGGCCCCGGUGGAUUGGUAACCUUCCUGCGGCUGCUUCGGCGCGAGGUAGGCGAAACCGCCGUUGGUGAUCCUGGCUGCCCUGCGACGGUCGUAGAGACGAGCGUACUAUACCCCUUUCCCGGGGUUGCUGCUUCUGCUCUCGCGGCGUGCAAAAAGAUCGGUGAUCCAUCCGACCCGUCUUGAAACACGGACCAAGGAGUCUAACAUGUGUGCGAGUCAGUGGGCGCACUAAACCCAAAGGCGUAAUGAAAGUGAAUAAAAAAAACAACCCAGAAAACGAGUGCGGCGCGCGCGUCUUUCCAUGGUGCGGGCGCCAGAAGCAUCGUAGGAGGAGGGCCGAUCCAACGCGUUCUUCUUCCCUCCACCGGUAUGGCAUGCCAGGUGAGUCAUUUUACCUGGACUCUGCCGGGGGCUGCGGAGGAGCGCGUAGGCGCAGGCCCGGGACUUGCCAGAGACGCCGCGAGGACCACAACACCGUGUGCCUUCUUCCGUCAGAGGCGGUAGCGGGUGACGGUGAUGGCGCGUGCAGUCGGCAAGUACCACGAGCAGACAUGUUGGUACCCGAAAGAUGGUGAACUAUGCCUGGCCAGGAUGAAGCCAGAGGAAACUCUGGUGGAGGUCCGUAGCGAUUCUGACGUGCAAAUCGAUCGUCUGAGCUGGGUAUAGGGGCGAAAGACUAAUCGAAUCAUCUAGUAGCUGGUUCCCUCUGAAGUUUCCCUCAGGAUAGCUGGAACUCUCAGGAUGAAUUUCGUCCGGUAAAGCGAAUGAUUAGAGGUGUUGGGGACGAAACGUCCUCAACCUAUUCUCAAACUUUAAAUGGGUGAGAUGCCGAGCUUUCUUGAACACUGGCUGAUGAAGCUUUGGCGAUUAAUCUGAGUAUCUAGUGGGCCAUUUUUGGUAAGCAGAACUGGCGCUGUGGGAUGAACCAAACGUCGAGUUAAGGGGCCUAAAUGAAUGCUCAUUCAGAUCCCAUCGAAAGGCGUUGGUUGCUAUAGACAGCAGGACGGUGGCCAUGGAAGUCGGAAUCCGCUAAGGAGUGUGUAACAACUCACCUGCCGAAGCAACUAGCCCUUAAAAUGGUAUGGCGCUGAAGCAUUCUCCCGAUACUCGACCGCCGGGGCACUAGCGGCCACGUCCCAGAGGCGAGGUCUCGAAGCCCCGGUGAGUAAGAGGGUCGCAGUGGUGAGCGCUGAAGGGAUCCGGCGUGAGCCGGCCUGGAGCCGCCACUGGCGCAGAUCUUGGUGGUAGUAGCAAAUACUCGAGAGAGACUCCCUCGAAGACCGAUGUGGAGAAGGGUUCCAUGUGAACAUCAGUUGGACAUGGGUUAGUCGCUCCUAAGCCCAAGGCUAAGGCCUGAUCCCAUGCUAGCGGCAACGUUCGGCCAACGUAAGAAGCAUCAUCAGCAUGAGGAGAAUAAGCAGCAGAAGAAGAAGAAGAAGAAGAAGAAGAAGACGACGCGGCUUAAUAGGGAGAAUGAAGCACCGGGCGAGGCGGUGGCGGCCUCCUCUGCUGCCGCUGCUUCCGUCGAGUGCAUCUUCCUGCUACUGUUCCGUUCUUCUUUUCUCUCAUGCGCUUCUCGUUGCCCGGGAUUAGUGGCGAAAGGGAAUACGGUACUUAUUCCGUAACCUGGACUCGGAUAAAAAAAAAAAAGCCAGGCAAGCUCUUCCUCGCUCCCAGCACGCAAGCAAGCGACUUGCUCCCGAAAGGGAAUUUCGCUACGGCUGCUGCUGGUGCUGAUGAUGAUGAUGCUGUUGCCCUGUGUUGAGGACCCCGGUGACGGGAACCAGCUCGCGACCAUCGGCGGUGGUCCGGGAAAGAGUUUUCUUUUCUGUUUAAGGCGCCGUGACCCUAGAAACCAUCCGCAGGGAGAAAGGGGGUUGGUAACACGGUUAGCCGUAGAGCGCCGCGGUUCUUGCGGCGUCCCGCGUGCCACCGCCGGUCCGUGAAACCGCGAGGGAGGU